ACGAUGCCUUCAAGAAGGAAAGUUGGUGUGAGGUUUUUACCCACAGCCCACAAACAACCACCCACGGACAAGAGGAACUUCGCAACGCGACAAAGGGUUGCAGGAGGCUGACCAGAGGCCUUCUCCACCACCACACGCACCAGAGCCGGCGCCUCCAACCACGACGUAGGCGCCUCACAGAUCUGGCGACACCAACCGGUGCCGUCAGCUCCUGGGCCACGGUGCCGACCAUCUCACCCCACGUCGGCCUCGCCGGCAACCACACACAUCCCACGCCUGAAAUCCCCCUAGCCUGCAGCCGCCCGGAGCAGCUGCUCUGGCCACCUCCUUAGCCGCGCCGCUGGCUACGAGGCCUCACCGGCCGCCUCCACGGAUCCUCCGAGAAAGCUUCAAGAUAUGCCUUCAUGCCCCGAAGCCGCCUCAGCCACGCUGGCGUCCUUAGAACUGGCCGGAAGGGGAAGGCCCCGCCGCCGUCCGCCCAUGGGGGCUUCGCCCGCCGGCAUCCUCCGACGGCGGCGAGGGGAGGAGGGUGGGGAAGUUGGACAUGUUGGCGUCGCUAGGGUUUCGGGCCGCCCGAGCCGCUCCUUGGGAGCGACGCGGGGGAGACGUUGAGCUUUUUUGCUUCGUGUCCUUCUCACACUCUGCUCGAUGGUUAAUAGCCCACUAGGUCCCUGUUGUCCACCAAGCCCAACUAGAAGACCUUCCUGAUCCGUGAACUGCUCGAUCCAGGUUGAACUCGAAGGGGGGCCCGCCUCCGCCCGAGACCCCGAGUCCCUGGCGCACGCAGCCAAGGGGCAAUCGCUGCUCCUUCCGCCGUCUUUCCAAAUCCCUAAUGUCUGCAGCAGGAUAACCGCGAGAGGAAGCUUCCAAGGUGACGUACCUAAUCCCCAAUCUAAUUUUGCUCCCUAAAUAAAGCAAUCAAGCAGGCAGCAGGUUAAUCUACUUCUACUCAGAUUAAGAAAUUUAUUUUGUUGUUCAUAGACCAUAAGAACUGUUGGAUUGUGUUCAGAUUAAGACGUGUCUCCGAACUAAAUUGGGUGAGACUUUCUCCACCAUUGCAUGAUAGUCCACGUCGAGAAUGAACUAGCAGUAAAGUUCAGUUCCGACGAAAUUAUUGAUGCCUUUGAUCUUUGUGGUGGUCGCCGUGAUCGUAGAGAUAACUUCAAAUUAGUAGAAAUGUAAUUUGUAUUUUUAUUUUGACUACUUAGACCUGACUGUAUUUGAUAUGAUAUCAAGACUAUAUGUCUUCAAUGGAGUUCAUCUUUCAGUUUUACUUUUUCUCUCAUGCCGAAUUUCUGGCUCCGUCCCUUUUUAUGACAUAGGCAUUACGAGCCUUCAGAUCGGCAGUCCGGGAGAUAGGUUGCAUCCAUGACAUGGUGAAGGUCCAACCGCAUCAACAUCUGCAUAAACGCCAAAGAAGAAUCUUUGUAUGCCAACAAGCAAGACCGAGGCACAUCCAGGAAGGGCGUCAACCAUCAAGGCCCUCCAAGGGCAAUCGUCAUAACAAGCAAUCCUCCAGAAUGGAAACAACAAGUGUGGUCAAUCCGACGGUGUAAUGAUGAAGUUCUCAGAACAUACAACUCCGAAAGGCCGCCGGACAAAGAAAGAAAAAAACAAGUUCGUUGAAGGCUACGCGGCUAUGCCGAAGAAUCCUGCGACUGUGAUCCCGGCUUCAAGGCUCCAUCUCCUUUCUGUACACUGUACUGAAGACAAACCCAAAAGAACACCAGGUAGAUUACUCCAUCCCGAGCCGUGCCGUGCCUUGCAACACAACCGCUAGGGUUUCGUCCGUCUCUCGCUUUUGCGCUGUCCUCGUAGUCUACUCCAUCCCGAGCGUCGGCGUGCACCAGCGAUCGGGAUAGUAGGUCUCCAGUUGGAAAGCGCUCCGCGCGACUGCUCGCUUCCGUCACCACGGGUCGUCUACCGUCCAAGUCCGGCGGUGCUACGUGCCGCCGUCUUCGUCUCCAGGAACGUCGUCAAGUCAACUCGAUCGUCAUCACGGCUUCUUCAUCUUCAUCGAAACAGCAAUUUCCUGAUUUAACUAUGAGUUUAGCCGAUGCAUUGAAGCCGGAUAAAUUUUCCGGGAUGUACUUCAAGAGAUGGCAAUUAAAGGCCAUGCUCUGAUUGCAGACUCUGAAAGUAUUCUGAGUGACAGACGGCAAACCAGAGGGAAAUUUAUCUGAGGAAACUCAGAAAAAUUUCCAGGAUGCCAAUGUUGCCUUUAGAGGAUGCAUUUUGAGUGUUCUUUCUGACCGUCUUUGUGAUGUGUAUAUGCACAUAGAAGACGGGAAGGAGCUGUGGGAUGCACUGGAUGCUAAAUUCGGUGCAACCGAUGCAGCCAGUGAAUUGUAUACCAUGGAGUCACUGAACGACUACAAGAUGGUGGAUAACCGUUCUGUAGUUGAACAGGCGCAUGAGAUACAUAUCAUUGUGAGAGAGCUCAACCUUCUCAAGUGUGAUUUACCCGACAAGUACGUGGUUGUGUGCAUUAUUGCAAAGUUAUCUCCCGCGUGGAGGAACUUCGCCACGUCUCUAAAACACAAGAGACAAGAGAUAUCAGUUGAACAACUUAUAGAGUUCCUUGAUGUUGAAGAGAAAGCUCGGGCUAAGGACACCACUGAGAAGGCUGCUGAUUUCCCGUCUAACGCCAAUAUGGUACAGAGGAACCUUCUCGGCAACGGAAAGAACAAAGGGAAGAAGUUCGCUGUUGUUAACAACAACAAGCCUGCAGACUACUACCUUCAAGAAGAAGAAAGUAAACAAAGGCGAGAUGAAUUGCUUCACCUGUGGAGAGCUCGGCCACUUUUCUAGAGACUGUCCUGAUUGUGCAGAUCGGAGAGGGAAAAGGGGACAGAAGACUGUCAAUGUCGUGACCGCUAGCAACACUGACACCAUGGAAGGGAUUCAACCGUCUUGAUGGGGAACGGAUCGCAUGCAGCUGUUCGUGGAGUUGGUAUGGUCGAUCUGAAGUUUACUUCGGGGAAGAUCGUGCGGCUAAGGAACGUGAUGCAUGUCCCCUCCAUGAACAAAUAUCUCGUUAGCGGUUCCCUUUUAUGCAGAGAUGGUUUUAAGGUAGUUUUAGAGUCUAAUAAAGUAGUUGUGUCCAAACAUGGACAAUUUAUUGGUAAACGCUAUGAGUGCGGAGGCUUGUUCCGUUUUUCCCUUUCUGAUUUUAGUGAUAUGUCAGUGAACCAUAUUUGUGGCAGUGUUAAUGAUAAUGCAAGUGUUUGGCACUCU